AAGUCGUAACAAGGUUUCCGUAGGUGAACCUGCGGAAGGAUCAUUAACACGUAUCCAACGUUAAACCCCCCGUGAACCUUCAUUGUGCUCCCCCAUUCCGUUAGGACGCGGCAAUCCCUGGUAAAUCAUCGCCGAACAGUUUUGAAUGGAGUGGGCAGUGGCAUUCGAAAGAAUGGCGCAGUAACGAUCGCUAGAGGCCGACACGGCCGGCGACCGGGUCACUGGGCUCACGCCCCCCUAUCACCUUUGCAUGAAAACGGGCCUGCGCUUAAUUGUGCGGCCACCAAACUCGAACUGUUAACAAUGGAUAUCUUGGUUCUC
rnacentral:misc_RNA from 1 species